GAUGAACGCUGGCGGCGUGACUAAUACAUGCAAGUCGAGCGAACAGACGAGGAGCUUGCUCCUCUGACGUUAGCGGCGGACGGGUGAGUAACACGUGGAUAACCUACCUAUAAGACUGGGAUAACUUCGGGAAACCGGAGCUAAUACCGGAUAAUAUAUUGAACCGCAUGGUUCAAUAGUGAAAGACGGUUUUGCUGUCACUUAUAGAUAGAUCCGCGCCGCAUUAGCUAGUUGGUAAGGUAACGGCUUACCAAGGCGACGAUGCGUAGCCGACCUGAGAGGGUGAUCGGCCACACUGGAACUGAGACACGGUCCAGACUCCUACGGGAGGCAGCAGUAGGGAAUCUUCCGCAAUGGGCGAAAGCCUGACGGAGCAACGCCGCGUGAGUGAUGAAGGUCUUCGGAUCGUAAAACUCUGUUAUUAGGGAAGAACAAAUGUGUAAGUAACUAUGCACGUCUUGACGGUACCUAAUCAGAAAGCCACGGCUAACUACGUG
rnacentral:rRNA from 1 species